rnacentral:lncRNA from 1 species
GUUUCCAUUCCCAUUAUGACACAACUCUUCUUCCUCUCUGGACUGAUUCUGCUUAGAUCUAUGACAUCCAAGUUCUGAUCCUUCAGGUUGUUGACCAGCUACCAAGCAUUGUUCAGGUGCAGAAGCCUCUUGUUGAGGUGAACCCGUCUGCAUGAUUUGAACUCCAACGGAAUUCCUGUCGACUGGAGCACUUCCUGCUUCUGUAACCUCAUUCAAGGAACUCUUGAGGUGAACCCGUCUGCAUGAUUUGAAUUCCAACGGAAUUCCUGUCGACUAGAGCACUUCCUGCUUCUGUAACCUCAUUCAAGGAACUCCUCCCAUUCUCAUUGUGGCAUAAUUGCUCAUUCUUAUCCUCUCGAGAUUGAUGC